rnacentral:lncRNA from 1 species
CCGGAGAGACUCAAGAAUUUUGUUUAUUAUGACAUAUAAAGGCUGAAACAUUUAGUGACAUCACAAACGAUAAACAACUUUCAGUGUGUUUUGCAAUAUUAUUGAAGAUAUUUUUUUGGGAUACAUUUGAAAAAGGAUUAUUUUGUGAAACAUUAAAAAGCCCACAUUAUAUUCCCUGUUACAGGUAAGUCUACAAAUUAAAUAUCAGGUAAACUCUGUACUUCCCAGAUUUUUGUUUAAUAUUCAUUCCCGUCUAAUUUUUAACUUGAUUUAAUUGGUCUGUACAUUUACAUCAAUAUAGAUUUAGACGUCAUACAAAGUAAUUAUACUGAAUCUGAAUACUUUUUAUUCUAUGUCGCUUUUAAAAGUUUAUUUAUUCAUGAUUGACAUAAAAAUGCCAAAGUGACUCCAGAGUCCAGAAGGUAAUAUUUAUGUGUUUUUAAAACGAUGGUACAUUUUAAGGUAAAAAAGUAAAAAAUUCAAUGCACCUCCUUUUCUUGGACAGAGCUAUUUAGCUACCACAUGGAAUUAAAGGUAGUACCGUGUGUUUAUUUCAUUGGUUGGGGUGCCAUCAGAAACUCUAACCUGUUUCUCAACUAGUAGCAAAGUUAAAUAUUUCUGCAAAUUCUUGAUUACUCAUGAGGUACCCAUGAAAAUUUCAUCGGUAAAGGUUAACCACAAUUUUAAAUUGCCAACACAAUUUCUUUUCAAUUUCUACAUUUUCUUUUAAGUUGUUACCAGAAUGAGGAAAAAACUGUAGAAACAGUUAUCCUCCACAAAACAAUUUAUCUUAAUCAACUAAAAUUGGUAUCCUAGAAGAAAAAUUUAUCCACAGCAGUUUCAAGCGUUCCAAAAUACUUUUACUUUUGACUUAUUAUAUGCUUUCUAUAUAUACCUCACUGUAUAAUGUACUGACUUACUGUACAUAUCCUUGUGAACUAUCAUAUUAAAAAUCCAAGUCAACAUGUCGGGCAAGUACAAAGGUGGAUACAUAUUUAUUUCACACCAAUUUGUUUUUUUUCGUCUAUGCAUAUGAAAGUGCAGCAGCCACUCAACGUUAAACACAACUAUAUCUGACAUCAUCAGGGUUGGAUCCAGCCAUUUUCAAAAGGGGGGUUCCCAACCCAGAAUAAAAAGGAGGGUCCAACUGUAUGUCCUUAUUUAAAUUUAUUGAUCAGCAAAAAAAGAGAGGGGUUCCAACCCGGUUCCAACCCCCGUAACCCUCCCCUGGAUCCACUACUGCAUUAUCAUCAUGUAAUGGCAGUUUAUUUGAUAAAAGAGAAUAAAUAGAAUCUUGAUUAUUUGACUAACAAAUGUUAGACUAUUUGAUAAAGCACAAACCUCCUCGCAAAAAUAGAUUAACAAGGAUGAAGUAUGCUCACAAAAGAAACUGAUAGUUUUUAUGCACAAAUUUGGGUAUAGAUUAUAACAAAAGGGAUGCUGUAUUGAAAGCUAAAAAUAGUCACAGUCAAUACAGUUGCUAUAGAUCUUUAAACAUUAUUUGAUUUCUUUAGUAUUUAUCUUAUCAAAUAUUUAGUGCGCAAUAAUAUUUAACAUUUGAAAGUCAAGGCCAAAUCAUUGAAAUUCCAUACCCUGAUAAGACUAGCUUGUUUUGCAUUUCUUGAGAAUUGUUUUUUUUCACCGUUCAUUUUCAUCUAGCUGCUCUAGCAAGAACCUGUUUGUGAUUGAAGAUUUAAGAAAAAUUUGUUUCCAAACAUGCAGUAAAGAGUAAUAAAAAAUGAACUAUACAAUGUCAGGGCCAAUUCAAAGUCAGUAUGUACAAAUUCUAUGUACAAGUAUGGGAAAACUUUGCAAGCAAACAUGCAAUACUGUUAAUUCUUUUAAUUAUUUGUUGAUCCAAUUUCCGUGGGUUUCAUCAUACAAGUGGAACAUUAACUAUAUUAUAAUACAUGUAUAUAAUUAUAACAUGUAUAUCUCUUUACAAGAUUUCAAUUAAGAUUUACGACCUAAUGCCCAUGUUGCAUCAGAAUGCAAAAGUUUAAGAAUUGAUGAAAAGUAUCUUUUUGCAUUUUCAAAAGUAUUUUUACUCAAAUAUUAAGGAAAGCCCAUAAAUACAGACUUGAAGAACUUAAACAGGUAGAAAUAAUCAAUAUAGGAUAUCUUUUUAGAUUUGAUCAAAUUGCGAAAAACUCUGGAACUUGGACGUAAAUGAAUGUUAAGGUAUGGCCAAAAGGACAAACAUGGAGCUUUAUCUAUAGAUUGAAUUGUUUUAUAGAGAAACAUUGGUAUAGAUGUUUUACAUCACAAUGUCCAACGUUAACGCUAGGCAACUUUGAAAUGUGUAAUAAACAGAACAGUUUUAAAAUGUCUCUUUUUAUAUUGCAGGAGUCUAAUGGAAGAAAUGAAAAAU